GCGGUCUUCUCGCACGGCCAGCAGCUCUCUGUCGCCUGAUCUCGAUCCCGCAAUCCCAAACAGAUUUCGAGUUGGAGAAUAAAAGGGAAAGUACCCUGGAGAAGUCUUCACGUCCAUCGUUGUAUGCAUGUCAGUCCCCGAGUUCACUUGAAACUCAUUCUCAAAUAAUGUGCAGCCACUGAAUUGGACAUAAAUGCCCUACAGUUCGCAAGUGCUACACUCACGCUGCUGCUGGAAGCGAUUCCGACGUGACGGGGUUGUAUGGGCUAUCUGGUCUACUCUUCCACGAUAACCGGAUCUUGGAGCAGGUGAGCAUAUCCACACUUUAUUCCACUAUCUGCCGAUCGAUAGUGUACCCAUUUGUACAACUGCGUAGAUAAUGCCGGGGCAUUGAGUAAACUUUCCCAUUGUUUCAAAUGCAGUGCCAGAAGAUGGAAUGCAACCAGCGAUCUCUAGAUAUGUUUCUUGCUAGAUAUGUCUACUGUAUUUGCGGCAAUCGUAUGUUUUUCAUUCAGUAACUGGCAAUGCUGUUAUGGUGGAUCCCAAUCUCAUAUUUAGUCCCAUUCGUUGCUGGGACCAUAGCCCUAGUGACUUGUUGGUACGUGGACUUGUAUUGAUUUAUGGUGGGAAUUAGACCAGAAAAAGGACAGAAGGCUACAUCACAUUAUUUGGGUCUUUCGGUAAAGUCAUGUAGAUAGGUUCAAAGAAAAUAAAAAAAACUACGACGUUUCGAUCGCAACACAAGCGGUCGUCAUCAGGAAAAGGGGGUUAGCUUCUAAAGGCAAACUGUUCAAAAGAUUUAGAUAUUUUAAUUCCUGCAGUCACGAACGAUUUAAGUCAAGAUUUAGGCUAUGUCAUUUAGACCUGAAUACAGUACUGUUAAACCGACAGGACUGAAUGCCCACAUCACCUUCACUUAAAACAUACGUUUAUUGUCGAGUGCUAGACAUUUUCCCUUUUUAGUUUCAUAUACGUGUCACAUUGAAUUUCUCAUUUAAAAAAAUGACAGCAGGGUCUAAAAAGACAUUCAAAUAAAACUGGUUUUGAAAUUGCCUCCCAUACAUUAUACUACCCCUCCCGCAACGUUCAGGAAUGUAGAGCAACUGAAGUAUCUCAGUCUCUAAUUAAAACGAUAAUUGGGCCAAGAAAUGCAUCACUUGACACCAAACGCUUUAUUCAUUGACCUUACAAAAACAUUCACAUAAUGCAAUGUGCCGGAACUUCUUUUAAUAUAUUGUACAUUAUUUUAUUUAGUAACACUUUGUGAUUAUUUUUUUUGUAAGUUAUUCAACAGCUACUAAUACGUACGUGUUCGUGUCAAUUUCAAAUUAUUAGGAUUUUUUAACAAUUCUUAUCAGACCCCUUAUCCUGUCUGGCCUCUCUCUGCUAUGAAGGGGCGGGCCAUUGUCCAAAGGGUCGUCAAUUAUAUUUUUUUCAUUUUAAGGUAGUUCUUGACGAAUGUGUAUGUGUUUUAGUCACACUUAACCGGAAGCGACACAUGCUAAUGCGGCGUUAAUGUCACUACGUUGCGCUGCAGAUAACGGAGUGGAAAUCGACUUUAUCAGAACAGCCGUGGCAGUGAUCCUAUUUGUCGCGAGCUCUUUAAACAGUACUGGACAAAAUAAUCAGUAUCGUCGAUGCGCAUACAAUCAAAAAGUGAAGCGGACAAUAUCUCCUUCAUAUAUCUCUUACACCACAUCAUGCUAUAUUGGAAAAAAAAGCAUUUUGCUGGCUCCAUACAUGCCUGGAUUCAUGGGUGGCCUUGACAGAGUUCGUGCGUGCCGACGUCACACCACCCCCACCCACCCUCCACCUCGGCCGUGGAUCCCGCUGUCACACUUUCAUAUUCAGUACCAUACAGGACCGUACUAUAAAACAAGUUUUGCUGGCUGGUUGGGGGGAGGGACGGACAGUCACGUCCAAAGAACGUCUGAGUGAUAAAAACAUAUUUUACACUUUGCGUUAACCAUAAGAGCUUCUGGGAGUGCAUAAUUUCAGCAACAUUGGUUUAUUACAAACAAAAUCGACCGGUUUGGAUAUGUCUCACCAGAUGGGUUGCUUGAACCAAUGCUGGUAAAUUUCCAGAAAUUAUAAAUACGGGUCCUAAUUCAACGCUAAAUGAUACGAUAAAUAACACAAAAUACAAGUUAUGAAAUCCUGUCUUGUGGUUUAUGGGACGUGUUAAAUACUUUAUAUUUUAUGUGGAAGGAUAGCUAUAUGAAGGAGAUAUGUCUACUUGUUUAUUUUGCUGUUACAAAAGGGUUCCAUUCAUUAGCACCGUGGCACUAGGGGAAGGAUGAAAACGUCAAAUGGGUUCAUUUUCAUUCUCGUGGUAUUUAACCUCACAAUUCCCUUACUAAUUAACACAAGUAAAAAUAUCCUUUGGUGAGAUUCUUUUAUCACGUACUGGCACAUAAUAAAAAUACAAUACGGUAUAACGCGCCUGAAUGCAAUGCCGUAAAAGAGUGGUGCGGGGUCAACUUACAUCAAUUAAAAUCGAUUCAUAUGCCCUUGAUACAUGCACGAAUCGUAUUUUAUGAUUUAAGCAACCCACACAAGAUAAGACACAGGAGGCAGUUCAAGUGAGGUUAACAAUACGAAUGACAGUACAGAAGAGGCGAAUGAUGAAUACGAGGCCGCACAAAUGAAACAAUUGUAGGAGAGCUUUUGGGUGAACGUUAAGUGCCGAUUAUGAAAAUGAACAAACAUGAUGGUCCAACGGCGCGUAUUAAUGGAAUUUAAGUCAAUGGGGAAGCAAUCUUAAGUAGAGUAACGUCUUAAAAAUGUUGACAGGAAUGCAAGCACGUGCUUAUCAGAUUUAUUACUGGUGGAACUUUACUCCUAGAUUGAUCCUUUAAUCCAGUGGUUCUUAACCUUUACUGCAGCCUUGCACCUCUUUGGUUCUCUCACACGUUAAAACUUGUAUAAUACAUGUUUAAUGAAACGAAAGUAGCUGUACAUACGUGCCCAUGCCGAAUUUGUUUUGAUGAUUUACCUUCUAAAGAAAUCUGGCAUGUCUGGCACCCCCUGAAAGGGCAACUCAUACCCCUAGAAGGUGUGUGCAUCCCAGGUUAAGAACCACUGCUUUAAGUGAAUGAUGCCACCAGCUAUCUGUGCAAGAACAGAUGACCACUAUUGUACUCGUUUUGAGCUCCGACCCACAAAAAAAGUACUUUAGCACUACAGAACUGCAUAUGAAUGAACAUUCAGUUACCACAAAGCGUUUCCCAAUUUAGAUGCAAAUAAUUCAUCAUUUAACAUGAAUCCGUGCCGUUCAUGACAAGGUGGACACUUAUUUAACCCUGGAGAUUUGAGUUAGUAAUCGUUUCUUUUUAGUUGCUGGAAUGUCUCAAUUUUGUCGCAUGACAACAUACAAAAAGCGAAUCAUUGAUGAUCAUGAUACUUUUACACUGUAAUCUAAAAGUAGGAAUACAACAGGGGGUUGAAGGCUACAAAUAUAUUUUUACUUCACAUUGCCAAGGAACCAAAGCAACAUAGCAGACAUAAUUUGUAUGAUAACAAGUCUCCAAUGCAAUAGAUGAACCAUUGAACCGAAACGUAUUUUUUUAAUAACCCAAGCAACCCCUCUGAUGUGAAUAUAACAAAACAAUCAGUGUCGUUGUGGAGAAUUAGUAACAAUAUAAAAAAUAUCUCUACAACUAAAAUACUGUCCUGCAUGAUGCUUUAUCAUUAUACUUUAUGUAAACCAUUUUUUUCAUUUGCACAUUUUACACAAUACACAAGACCCUACAUUGAUUAGUGUUCUAUGCUUACUGUGAAUAGUUGUGUUUAAGGAGACAGCUUACACUUUGAACAGAAAACAUUGUUUGAAAGUGGGCAACUCAUCAAUUGUAACCACACCUCAAUACUACACACAUCGGAAUCCACACAGCACACACUAAAGAGCCAAGCUCUGCCAUUUUAAUUUCUUUGCAGUAAAUCUUUAUUUCAACUUGAAUUGACUGAAGAGACUGUAGACUAGGGCAUUGUUGGUAGUAGACUAUUAUAAAAAGCCACGCAAUUCACCCCACAUGCACUUCACAUCACUCAACUCAAUACUCCUACCUUAACUGAGGUUUUUAAGCACCCUACAGAAAUGUAAUGGUCAUGUAACAGUACUUAAUAUUGUCGCAUUUUAUUUAUUAAAUGAUAUAGGAAUGGCACUCAUGAAAAUGAUAAAUUGUCCAUUCUAAUAGGUUGUUAAAUAACUUCUUGUGUAAAAUGCUAUGCCAUACAAUAACCGAUCUGCAUAAACCAAAGUUAAGGUUAUAUGGAGUAUAAAGUGCUCAGCACCCAGGGG